rnacentral:rRNA from 1 species
AUGAACGCUGGCGGCGUGCCUAAUACAUGCAAGUCGAGCGAACAGACGAGGAGCUUGCUCCUUUGACGUUAGCGGCGGCCGGGUGAGUAACACGUGGAUAACCUACCUAUAAGACUGGGAUAACUUCGGGAAACCGGAGCUAAUACCGGAUAACAUGUUGAACCGCAUGGUUCAACAGUGAAAGACGGUCUUGCUGUCACUUAUAGAUGGAUCCGCGCCGCAUUAGCUAGUUGGUAAGGUAACGGCUUACCAAGGCAACGAUGCGUAGCCGACCUGAGAGGGUGAUCGGCCACACUGGAACUGAGACACGGUCCAGACUCCUACGGGAGGCAGCAGUAGGGAAUCUUCCGCAAUGGGCGAAAGCCUGACGGAGCAACGCCGCGUGAGUGAAGAAGGUCUUCGGAUCGUAAAACUCUGUUAUUAGGGAAGAACAAAUGUGUAAGUAACUAUGCACGUCUUGACGGUACCUAAUCAGAAAGCCACGGCUAACUACGUG